AAUACCUCAGAAUUGUCAGGGUGCUCAGCAAUCCGCACCUGACAGUGCUGGGGUUUAGU
rnacentral:pre_miRNA from 1 species